CCUAUCAGGAGUUGUCGUCAUGUUUUGCCUGACAGUGUUCAGGUCCCUGAACGAGAUGGAGUUGCAUUUUUUUUUUCUAACAGGGCAAGAUUGCCGGUUUGCAAAACUGGCCAUGUUGGAAUGUUGCCUUAAUAAAUUUCAAUUUAUUACAAUAAAAUCAAAUUAAUGCGUGUGGCAGGAUACCUCUUUGUUUAUUUUGUUUCUACCUUGUUGGUGAGCUGUAGUUGGGAUUUGGCCAUUUGGGAAUAGUUUUGAAAUGUCCUUUUUCGAAAAUCCUUUAAAAUUUUGAAAUCACAUUUCAAAACUAUCCCAACUACAACCAUCCCAACUGCUAAAAAAUUAAACAAAGCAAGAUCCUGCAACACGUGGUAAAUUAGAUUUUGUUGUAAUAAUAAAUUUGUAAUUUUUUAAGGCAACACCUCUAGUUUUGCAAACCGGCAAUCUUGCGCUAUAUCCCCACCCCCCCAAAAAAAAUGGGGGAGGGUGUCAAAAUUGUCUAUCAACCUUGUUCGUGUUUUCUUCUAGAGGAAUAUGAAACAUCGUGGUUCAUUCAGAUGCCGCGCGUAGGUAUGUAUGGUUAUUCGAUUUGUUAAGCUCCAAGAAAUUGAGCUCCAGGUAAAGAUGAUAUUAAUGCGUUUGAUUGAUGUUAUUCUUUUGUUAAUUCUUCAGUAAACUGUCAGGAGUCAUCGUAUUUAAUAGAUACACGUUCAAGUUCUGAUUAUUCAAUACUAUAGCCCUGUUAAAUAAAGUUGUCAUUGGUGUGAGCUUACUAAAGAUAGAAAUUGUUGAAAGCUAAGUUGAACGUUCUUUUCCAGGUUGUUUUAUGUUGCAUUUCCAAUUUUUUUGCACCUAGUCAUUUGGUAGUGUAUCUGCCAUGUUGAUGGUUGUUAGACCAAGUCUGCCUACUAGUUUCUUUUGCAGUCUGGGAAUGUGUCAUCCGUCCUUGUAUUCUGCAGGUUGGAUUAAAUGGCUAUGUAAUUGUUACUGUUGCACUUUUCUGUGGACUUGGGUAUGCUGGAUUCUGCUAUUGGCGCACAAGCAGUCAACUUUUUCUGAAAAUCGUAUGGUAUGGUAUGUGUUGUUAGUAUCUUCCUUUACCCUGUUAAAGUGAGGGCUGGUCAACUACAAUUAUUGGUCUUCCAGUUCUGGUAUUAAUCAGCAGAUCAUUGUUUAAAUAGGCAUUACUUUAAUAAUAGCAUUUAAUUUAAUUAAAUUUACAUUUGCAUCAGCUUGCAAAUGUAAUGCUGGCUAAGGUUUUGUUUGCAUAAAGAAGACCAUAAUCUUUGCUAGUUUUACUUUUUGGUACAGUUUUUUACUUAAAAAGUAAAGAUUUUUCAUUUAAAAGUUAGCGAAGUUAAAGUAAAAACUUAAAAUGAAAAAAAUAUAAAAGAAUGGGGGGGGGGCGAUUUCAGGUCGAUAGACCGCAGUUUGAUUCGAUACUAAGCCAGGUACAAAAAAUAAUGCUGUGAUUGUUUUGAGAUACAUUGCUGUAUCUCCGCCUAGUCAGUUGGUAUUAAAUUGUUUCUGGCACGAUGGGCAUUAGAAGAUAUCUGGGGACAUGGAAUAUAUUACAAUUCAUCCCUAUCUUCCGCAGGUAUAAGCAAAUCUGAUGUCCCUUUUUUCUUAUGUGAUACAUGAUUUAGGUUAAUUUUAUUGAAGUGUACUUGAAAUUUUCAUAUUUUAAGCUAUUUUUAUAAUCAAAGAUCUUUAAGCUGGAUCAAAGGAUUCCUUUUGUUCCUGUUGGCAUCAAUCAAUUGGUUUUUCUGUAUGCUGAUGCUGGUUCUUGGUAUGCAGAAAUGUUUGUAAGAAUAUUGUUGGUUUAGUUGUAGAAUUGCGUAGUAUUUUGUGUGUGAUCGGCCGCUCCUUUGUAUUGUUGAGAGGGUUGGGCAAGUAGUUGGUUUUUCCAAUUAUGGUAUUUUCAUCUUCAGGUUAUUUGAUAAGGCUAUUUCUAUCAGCUAUCAUUAAAAAAGUGUGGUGGCUGUUGUUCAGAUAGGCUUGCUGAAAUGGAAUGGCUGUGUUCGCCACAGUUACUUGUGUUGUCUAUAUAAUACGGCGCUGAAGUUUUUCUGUUGGUUGUUUGAUCAGCUUAUUUCAUCACCUAUCAUUUAGAAACGUUGAUGCUAGGCGAGGUCUUGUUUGCACAGGUGUGAUGGAAUGGAUUGCACAUGAUGGGCCAGUGGUUAACAUAUUAAUAUUUCUUUUUCGUGUCAUGGUGGAACGUUUUGAAGCUGUUGCUGAAGACUGUGUUGACCAUUUUGUCUGCUAUGGUGUCGUGGUUUUCCGGGUGUGUUGGGACCAUGGUUCUGUGGGUUUUAACUGAGUUUAGGUACAAUGCGGUGUACGUGCGAAUCUUUUGCAUAUUUAUGUUUCAAAUUUAUUUCAACCUUGAUUCUAUAACGUUUAAGUUACGAUUUUGAUCAGGUCAUUAGAACUAAUACUGGGAUUUCUUUCUCUAUUUUAGUUGGUCCUGUAACAGCAAAUGAUGGUCCUAAAGGUAUUUUCCGGUGGGAAUACAGUAUUUAAGCCAUAACGUUGUGAAGAAAAAUGGGGAAUCGUGUAACGAAGACAAGUAAAACGUGUGGCAUACUUGUCCGGUGGCUGCAUGGAAUUUAGACUUAAACAUUUUAUAGUCGUGACAUUUUCUUUAGAUAGCAAGUUAUAGAAAUAAAGGCUGGCAUCUCUUGACUACAGCUGCGGUGGUGAAAAAGAUAUUGGUCGUGAAACAAAAGUAUGCAGAUGGCUGAUCGUUGGGAGAAAAAUUGUCAGUUCGUCGGAGGUCAGCGUCGAAUGUUUUCCAAUAAUAUAUUCCAUUAAAUGUCUCAGCUGUUUAAAAAAAACAUUAUUUGGGGUUCGUUUUCUGUGACGCUGUUUCCUUUUACUUGUGAUAAAUCAGUACUGGGUAGUCAUUACUGUUGCCAGCAUUGUAACUCUCAUUCUCAAAGUUCAAGGAUUUUGUCAGUAUGCAUAUUGAUCUACAAAUGACAUCUAACUGCUGAUCGCCCUGAAUUUACUCAUGCCUUGCGGCAUUUGUUAGUCGCAACUCGGGUGAAAUCUCAAGUCGUGUUUAGCUAGAUAUAUUCGCAUUAGUAAUUGGGAGGAUAUCUUAUUGAAUUAUGUAUUAGCAACUGAAUAAAUUUUAUAUAUCUCA